rnacentral:rRNA from 1 species
AUUGAACGCUGGCGGCAGGCCUAACACAUGCAAGUCGAGCGAGCGGGGGGCGGGUGAGUAAUGUCUGGGAGACUGCCUGAUGGGGGGGGAUAACUACUGUAAACGGUAGCUAAUACCGCAUACCCUCAGAUGUGCCCAGAUGGGGUUAGCUGGUAUGGGGGGUAACGGCUCACCUAGGCGACGCUCCCUAGCUGGUCUGAGAGGAGGACCAGCCACACUGGAACUGAGACACGGUCCAGACUCCUACGGGAGGCAGCAGUGGGGAAUAUUGCACAAUGGGCGCAAGCCUGAUGCAGCCAUGCCGCGUGUGUGAAGAAGGCCUUCGGGUUGUAAAGCACUUUCAGCGGGGAGGCGUUACCCGCAGAAGAAGCACCGGCUAACUCCGUGCCAGCAGCCGCGGUAAUUC